AGCAGUCGCCACGGGAAUACGGAGGGUGCAAGCGUUAAUCGGAAUUACUGGGCGUAAAGCGCACGCAGGCGGUCUGACAAGUCAGAUGUGAAAUCCCCGGGCUUAACCUGGGAACUGCAUUUGAAACUGUCAGGCUGGAGUCUUGUAGAGGGGGGUGGAAUUCCAGGUGUAGCGGUGAAAUGCGUAGAGAUCUGGAGGAAUACCGGUGGCGAAGGCGGCCCCCUGGACAAAGACUGACGCUCAGGUGCGAAAGCGUGGGGAGCAAACAGGAUUAGAUACCCCUGUAGUCCCUGUCUCUUAUAC
rnacentral:rRNA from 1 species